rnacentral:lncRNA from 1 species
UUGUGUUGGUCUUUUGUUGUGUUCGUGUCUCUUUAUUUGGAGUUUUACACUUAAUUUAGCAGACUUUUUUCUAGAGUGUUGGGUUCAGUGCUCGCUUGUUACGGGUUUCCUUUUUCUAGAAUGCGUUUGGAAAGGUUGAUUGGCAAGACUUUAUUCUCAUGGUAUUUGGGUAGAGCUUCUAUCGAUGGUAAGUGGACGUUAUGAGUGUGUUGCAUCUGUAUCCGAAGGUAGUGGACCGAGUGAUGGUCCCUCUCGGGUUAUGAAGUUUCAGGUUUUUGGUCUUUUGGAUGUUAUCGAUUGACGAAAGGAGGCAGCAAUGAUAAAUCGUGAUGUAGCUGUAAGAAAUGAAGGUUAUCGUGUGGCGAGUUAUGGGCAGCAACAAUAUUUCUCCGAUUAUUAGUUUUACAUAGUUCGAAAGUCUGCUGAGUUGUGGUUGUUUAGAGUUCAUAUGUAGUAGAUUAUAUCGGUUUCAGUUUAUUUUUAAGCGUUGUUUUAGUAAGUCGUUUUGGUGUAGGUUUUUGUGACCGUCUCUUAUGGGCUUUCGGUUCUGUUUCAGUAACUUGUUUUGAUGUGGGUUUUAGUGAUCGCCUUUUUUGAAUUCUUGGUUUUGGGGCUAUUUUGUUUUAUC